AUGUCUAUAAACAAUUUCAAAGUGAGGAACAUAUUAACAGAAUAACAGAGUUGGAAGGGGCCUUGGAGGUCAUCUAGUCCAAUCCCCUGCUCAAGCAGGAGAGACCCUACACCAUUUCUGAUAAAGGGCAGUCCAGCCUCUUCUUGAAACCUUCCAUUGAUGAAACUGUUACGAGGAAUGGUGGAUCAGGCCCAAUAAAGAGACUUGAGUCAUCAAGUAAAAUAUCUCUCUUUUAUUUGCAGGUUCAUCAUAUCAUCACUUGAAUACAUUAGGAUCUGGAACAUGGAGGAGUGUGCCCACCUUUUAUACCUGUGGGCGGGGAUUCAGGAAUACUACCUGGAGCUGCUGUGACCACUCUAGGAUAUUACCCCCAUCCAUCCUCAACUUGGGAAAGUCAACAGGCGGAAGAGCGCAUGCGCGAAGUCCAUUUCAGCUUCGCCGUCGCUGUGGAAGGACCUGUUCAUCGCGGCUCCGCUGUAGAGGCUACUGCCGGUCGGGUAGGCCUCAGCUUCGGCCUUGGGGGUCCAGGUGUGCUCCGGAAGGCGUCGUCCAGCAGCUGCUUCUCCGGAAUGAAGAUCCUGGUGGUGCUGGGGCUCCGGCGAUGGCUGUUCAUCAUAUCAUCACUUGAAUACAUUAGGAUCUGGAACAUGGAGGAGUGUGCCCACCUUUUAUACCUGUGGGCGGGGAUUCAGAGUACUUGAAAUUUAUGCUGGAAAUGUGAGCCAACACGAAGGGGCGUAUUAUGUUUGAUGGCGAUGCAAGAAAACCAGCAAUUCUUGGAACCAAACCCACGCACUAAUUCAGAAGAUUUUUAAAGGCUUUAAAGAUUUUGAAGACUAACGUACAAUUGAAACCAGAGACUCUUUUGGGAGGCUGAGUGGAUGAUCAGCUGGAACAGAAAUCACAGAGGUUUUGUUUUGAUAUGUGACAAGUGCAGCAAGAUUGUUAUUCGCUUAAAAGUUAAAAGAUUCAGUACUGUCUACAAAGGAGGAAUGGUUGCUGUAUUAGUUGAUGAAAUUUGACUUAAUUUAAUUAAAGAAAAGACAGUGAUUUCCUUUGCUGCUGACUGGAAAAUCCUCAGGAACAUUUUGCAUGAAGCAGAAAAAAAGGGAUAUGAUUUGUGCCGUUAGAAAAUAUUAGGUAAUAAAAGAAAGGGUUUUUUUCUAAAGAGAUAAUUGUGUAACCACACAUAUU